GGAAUUCCAUGUGUAGCGGUGAAAUGCGCUGAGAUAUGGAGGAACACCAGUGGCGAAGGCGGCUCUCUGGUCUGUUACUGACGCUGAGGUGCGAAAGUGUGGGUAUCAAACAGGAUUAGAUACCCUGGUAGUCCACACGGUAAACGAUGAAUACUCGCUGUUGGCGAUAUACAGUCAGCGGACCAAGACGAAAGCAUUAAGUAUUCCACCGUGGGGAGUACGCCGGCAACGGUGAAACUCAAAGGAAUUGACGGGGCCCGCACAAGCGGAGGAACAUGUGGUUUAAUUCGAU
rnacentral:rRNA from 1 species